rnacentral:tRNA from 2 species
AGGCGAGUGGUGCAAUGGGCAGCACGACGGUCUUUGGAACCGUAUGUUGCAGGUUCGAAUCCUGCCUCGCCUG